rnacentral:tRNA from 1 species
GUAAAGUCAGCUAAUUAA